rnacentral:pre_miRNA from 1 species
AGAGAAAUUGUUGGAUCAUAUGGUAAGAGUAUAUUUAAUUUUGUAAGAUAUUGCCAAACUGCUUUCCAAAGUGUCUGUACCAUUUUGCACUCCCAGCAACAAU